GUUGUCCGGAAUCAUUGGGCGUAAAGCGCGUGUAGGCGGCCCGGUAAGUCCGCUGUGAAAGUCGGGGGCUCAACCCUCGGAUGCCGGUGGAUACUGUCGGGCUAGAGUGCGGAAGAGGCGAGUGGAAUUCCUGGUGUAGCGGUGAAAUGCGCAGAUAUCAGGAGGAACACCAAUUGCGAAGGCAGCUCGCUGGGACGUUACUGACGCUGAGACGCGAAAGCGUGGGGAGCAAACAGG
rnacentral:rRNA from 1 species